rnacentral:rRNA from 1 species
GUGUCAGCCGCCGCGGUAAUACGUAGGUGGCAAGCGUUAUCCGGAAUUAUUGGGGGUAAAGCGCGCGUAGGCGGUUUUUUAAGUCUGAUGUGAAAGCCCACGGCUCAACCGUGGAGGGUCAUUGGAAACUGGAAAACUUGAGUGCAGAAGAGGAAAGUGGAAUUCCAUGUGUAGCGGUGAAAUGCGCAGAGAUAUGGAGGAACACCAGUAGCGAAGGCGACUUUCUGGUCUGUAACUGACGCUGAUGUGCGAAAGCGUGGGGAUCAAACAGGAUUAGAAACCCCUGUAGUCC